UUAAUUCUUCUAUUUUCUCAUCUUCUUCACCUCUUCUUCUUCAUUCCUUUUCUUCUCCCAAUUUCUUUUUUCAGAUCUAAUUUUAUUUAUCCAGAUCUCGUCGUCGCUCAUGCUCUAACGGAGCUGAAUUACUAAUUCUCUGACGGUUCCAAGGGAUCUCCUAUGUCCGUGUCAUCUUUUUUAGCCGCGUCGUCUUCGUCACCGUCUCUUAGAUCUGUCGCCGUUUCUAUAUCUCAGUUGGAAUUCAUGUUCUCAGAGAUGAAAGGGAGGGAUUGUUGGGAAAUGGAUACAAUUUUUUCGUCGGAGCGUUGGAUCUGAGGCUCUUGGACAGUAGAAGGGAGGAAUCUGUCACGGUGACGAAUCAAGUUGAGAACUUUAAACUAGGAGUUAGGAGAAGAAGAUUUGGGGACAAAACAUAGGUUUACAUCCAUGUGAUACAAGAAUACGUCAUCGGUGAUAUUAUACAACAUUAAAAAUUACAUGGUUAGUCGAAUUUGUAAAAGUGAUGAAGUA